UACGAAGGGGGCUAGCGUUGUUCGGAAUCACUGGGCGUAAAGCGCACGUAGGCGGAUCUUUAAGUCAGGGGUGAAAUCCCGAGGCUCAACCUCGGAACUGCCUUUGAUACUGGGGAUCUCGAGUCCGGGAGAGGUGAGUGGAACUGCGAGUGUAGAGGUGAAAUUCGUAGAUAUUCGCAAGAACACCAGUGGCGAAGGCGGCUCACUGGCCCGGAACUGACGCUGAGGUGCGAAAGCAUGGGGAGCGAACAGG
rnacentral:rRNA from 1 species